rnacentral:rRNA from 1 species
AUUGAACGCUGGCGGCAUGCCUUACACAUGCAAGUCGAACGGUAACAGGGAGCUUGCUCCGCUGACGAGUGGCGAACGGGUGAGUAAAGUAUCGGAACGUACCUUUCAGUGGGGGAUAACUAUCCGAAAGGAUAGCUAAUACCGCAUAUUCUGUGAGCAGGAAAGCAGGGGAUCGCAAGACCUUGCGCUGAUUGAGCGGCCGAUAUCAGAUUAGCUAGUUGGUGAGGUAAAGGCUCACCAAGGCGACGAUCUGUAGCGGGUCUGAGAGGAUGAUCCGCCACACUGGAACUGAGACACGGUCCAGACUCCUACGGGAGGCAGCAGUGGGGAAUUUUGGACAAUGGGGGCAACCCUGAUCCAGCCAUGCCGCGUGAGUGAAGAAGGCCU